rnacentral:rRNA from 1 species
GACGAACGCUGGCGGCGUGCUUAACACAUGCAAGUCGAGCGGUAAGGCCCUUUCGGGGGUACACGAGCGGCGAACGGGUGAGUAACACGUGGGUGACCUGCCCUCAGCUCUGGGAUAAGCCCGGGAAACUGGGUCUAAUACUGGAUAUGACUCCACGGUGCAUGCCGUGGGGUGGAAAGCCUUGUGCGGCUGGGGAUGGGCCCGCGGCCUAUCAGCUUGUUGGUGGGGUGAUGGCCUACCAAGGCGACGACGGGUAGCCGGCCUGAGAGGGCGACCGGCCACACUGGGACUGAGACACGGCCCAGACUCCUACGGGAGGCAGCAGUGGGGAAUCUUGCGCAAUGGGCGAAAGCCUGACGCAGCGACGCCGCGUGAGGGUUGACGGCCU